rnacentral:misc_RNA from 1 species
UCCGGUUUGUCACCGGCAGUCGUUCCAGAGUGCCCACCUCAACGUGCUGGCAACUGAAUCCAAGGGUUGCGCUCGUUGCGGGACUUAACCCAACAUCUCACGACACGAGCUGACGACAACCAUGCACCACCUGUCUCCUCUGUCUUCCGAAGAAGCCCAGCACAUCUCUGCACUGUUCAGAGGGAUGUCAAGACCUGGUAAGGUUCUUCGCGUUGCUUCGAAUUAAACCACAUACUCCACUGCUUGUGCGGGUCCCCGUCAAUUCCUUUGAGUUUCAGUCUUGCGACCGUACUCCCCAGGCGGAAUGCUUACUGUGUUAACUUCGGCACCAAGGAAGCAUCUCCCCUGACACCUAGCAUUCAUCGUUUACGGCGUGGACUAC